GUGGGGAAUAUUGCACAAUGGGGGAAACCCUGAUGCAGCGACGCCGCGUGAGCGAAGAAGUAUUUCGGUAUGUAAAGCUCUAUCAGCAGGGAAGAAAAUGACGGUACCUGACUAAGAAGCCCCGGCUAACUACGUGCCAGCAGCCGCGGUAAUACGUAGGGGGCAAGCGUUAUCCGGAUUUACUGGGUGUAAAGGGAGCGUAGACGGACUGGCAAGUCUGAUGUGAAAACCCGGGGCUCAACCCCGGGACUGCAUUGGAAACUGUCAGUCUAGAGUGUCGGAGGGGUAAGUGGAAUUCCUAGUGUAGCGGUGAAAUGCGUAGAUAUUAGGAGGAACACCAGUGGCGAAGGCGGCUUACUGGACGAUAACUGACGUUGAGGCUCGAAAGCGUGGGGAGCAAACAGG
rnacentral:rRNA from 1 species